UACGUAGGGGGCAAGCGUUGUCCGGAUUUAUUGGGCGUAAAGAGCGUGUAGGCGGCCCGGUAAGUCCGCUGUAAAAGUCAAAGGCUCAACCUUUGAAUGUCAGUGGAUACUGCCGGGCUAGAGUCCGGAAGAGGCGAGUGGAACUCCUGGUGUAGCGGUGGAAUGCGCAGAUAUCAGGAAGAACACCGACGGCGAAGGCAGCUCGCUGGGACGGUACUGACGCUGAGACGCGAAAAGCGUGGGGAGCGAACAGG
rnacentral:rRNA from 1 species